rnacentral:rRNA from 1 species
CACGUAGGGCGCGAGCGUUGUCCGGGAUUAUUGGGCGUAAAGAGCUCGUAGGCGGCCUGUUGCGUCCGCUGUGAAAGCCCGGGGCUUAACCCCGGGUCUGCAGUGGAUACGGGCAGGCUAGAGGUAGGUAGGGGAGAAUGGAAUUCCCGGUGUAGCGGUGAAAUGCGCAGAUAUCGGGAGGAACACCGGUGGCGAAGGCGGUUCUCUGGGCCUUACCUGACGCUGAGGAGCGAAAGCGUGGGGAGCGAACAGG